CAAAAAAAUAAAUCGUUGUUAUAAAGUAAUAAUGGUGUCAAAAUUAGAAAAAAAUGCUUAUCAAUGCGAUAAAAAAUUAUAUAAACUGGCAAAAGUAGAAUAGAAUGACCAGUUAAUUAAGCCGUGCAUUACAAAUGAUGAAGCUUUUACUUGUGGGCCUUUUCCUGGCCCUCACCUUACAAAUCUCCCUCUCAACAACAAUCCGCAACAUCCAAAAGCGCCAAAUUUGCUCAAGCAGUGGUUGCAACUCUUGCGACGGUCGCAGCUGCAACAGCUGCAGCAGCAACAACGUGUGUUGUUCCAGCAUAAGUUGCAACCAGUGCGUUAACCAAUGCGCCAACGACUGCAGCACAAAACAAUGCACAAAUUACUGUGUUCAAGGCUGCCAAACCUCCUGCCAGAAUCAACCACAAUCCUGCAACACCCAAUCGUGUUCUUCGUGCGUCAACAGAUGCUCCAGCCAAUGCUCAACCAAUCAAUGCAUCAACAGUUGCGCCAACAAGUGCCAAUAAAUGUAAUAAUUUAAAAAUGACGAUUAGCUAAUAACGUAAAAACCCACAAUUAUUGUUUCCUGUUCCAUUGCAACAUUUUUUAAUAAAAAAUAAUAAUAAUAA